rnacentral:rRNA from 1 species
AAGGAGGUGAUCCAGCCGCAGGUUCCCCUACGGUUACCUUGUUACGACUUCACCCCAGUCAUGAAUCACAAAGUGGUAAGCGCCCUCUCGAAGGUUAAGCUACCUACUUCUUUUGCAACCCACUCCCAUGGUGUGACGGGCGGUGUGUACAAGGCCCGGGAACGUAUUCACCGUAGCAUUCUGAUCUACGAUUACUAGCGAUUCCGACUUCAUGGAGUCGAGUUGCAGACUCCAAUCCGGACUACGACAGACUUUAUGUGGUCCGCUUGCUCUCGCGAGUUCGCUUCACUUUGUAUCUGCCAUUGUAGCACGUGUGUAGCCCUACUCGUAAGGGCCAUGAUGACUUGACAUCAUCCCCACCUUCCUCCGGUUUGUCACCGGCAGUCUCUCUUGAGUUCCCACCAUUACGUGCUGGCAACAAAGGAUAAGGGUUGCGCUCGUUGCGGGACUUAACCCAACAUUUCACAACACGAGCUGACGACAGCCAUGCAGCACCUGUCUCACGGUUCCCGAAGGCACUAAAGCAUCUCUGCUAAAUUCCGUGGAUGUCAAGAGUAGGUAAGGUUCUUCGCGUUGCAUCGAAUUAAACCACAUGCUCCACCGCUUGUGCGGGCCCCCGUCAAUUCAUUUGAGUUUUAACCUUGCGGCCGUACUCCCCAGGCGGUCGACUUAACGCGUUAGCUCCGGAAGCCACGCCUCAAGGGCACAGCCUCCAAGUCGACAUCGUUUACAGCGUGGACUACCAGGGUAUCUAAUCCUGUUUGCUCCCACGCUUUCGCACCUG